rnacentral:snRNA from 1 species
AUGCUUGCUUUGGCAGCACGUAUACCAAAAUUGGAAAAAUACAGAGAUGAUUAGCAUGGCCUCUGUGCAAGGAUGACACGUAAAUUCGUGAAGCAUUCCAUCUAUUU